GACGAACGCUGGCGGCGUGCUUAACACAUGCAAGUCGAACGGAAAGGCCCUGCUUUUGUGGGGUGCUCGAGUGGCGAACGGGUGAGUAACACGUGAGUAACCUGCCCUUGACUUUGGGAUAACUUCAGGAAACUGGGGCUAAUACCGGAUAGGAGCUCCUGCUGCAUGGUGGGGGUUGGAAAGUUUCGGCGGUUGGGGAUGGACUCGCGGCUUAUCAGCUUGUUGGUGGGGUAGUGGCUUACCAAGGCUUUGACGGGUAGCCGGCCUGAGAGGGUGACCGGCCACGUUGGGACUGAAAUACGGCACAGACUCCAACGGGAGGCGGCAGUGGAGAAUAUUGCACAAUGGGCGGAAGCCUGAUGCAGCAACGCCGCGUGCGGGAUGACGGCAUUCGGGUUGUAAUCCGCAUUCGCCUGUGACGAAGCGUGAGUGACGGUAAUGGGUAAAGAAGCACCGGCUAACUACGUG
rnacentral:rRNA from 1 species